UACGUAGGGAGCAAGCGUUGUCCGGAAUCAUUGGGCGUAAAGCGCGCGUAGGCGGCCCCGUAAGUCCGCUGUGAAAGUCAAAGGCUCAACCUUUGAAAGCCGGUGGAUACUGUGGGGCUAGAGUCCGGAAGAGGCGAGUGGAAUUCCUGGUGUAGCGGUGAAAUGCGCAGAGAUCGGGAGGAACACCCGUAGCGAAGGCGGCACUCUGGGCCGGUACUGACGCUGAGGAGCGAAAGCGUGGGGAGCAAACAGG
rnacentral:rRNA from 1 species